AUACGUAGGUGGCAAGCGUUGUCCGGAUUUACUGGGCGUAAAGAGUAUGUAGGCGGAUAUUUAAGUCAGAUGUGAAAUUCCCGGGCUUAACCUGGGAGCUGCAUUUGAUACUGGAUAUCUAGAGUGCGGGAGAGGAAAGUGGAAUUCCUAGUGUAGCGGUGAAAUGCGUAGAGAUUAGGAAGAACACCAGUGGCGAAGGCGGCCUGCUGGGCUUUAACUGACGCUGAUGCACGAAAGCAUGGGGAGC
rnacentral:rRNA from 1 species